UAUAUACUCACUCCGUUCGAAAAAACUUGUCUUAAGCUUGUCCCUUAAAUGGAUGUAUUUGGCACUAACUUGGUGCUAGAUAUAUUCAUUUAAGGGACAAACUUUUUCGGACGGAGGGAGUACGUC
rnacentral:pre_miRNA from 1 species